AUGAACGCUGGCGGCGUGCCUAAUACAUGCAAGUCGCGCGAACAGACGAGGAGCUUGCUCCUCUGACGUUAGCGGCGGACGGGUGAGUAACACGUGGAUAACCUACCUAUAAGACUGGGAUAACUUCGGGAAACCGGAGCUAAUACCGGAUAAUAUAUUGAACCGCAUGGUUCAAUAGUGAAAGACGGUUUUGCUGUCACUUAUAGAUGGAUCCGCGCCGCAUUAGCUAGUUGGUAAGGUAACGGCUUACCAAGGCAACGAUGCGUAGCCGACCUGAGAGGGUGAUCGGCCACACUGGAACUGAGACACGGUCCAGACUCCUACGGGAGGCAGCAGUAGGGAAUCUUCCGCAAUGGGCGAAAGCCUGACGGAGCAACGCCGCGUGAGUGAUGAAGGUCUUCGGAUCGUAAAACUUUGUUAUUAGGGAAGAACAAAUGUGUAAGUAACUAUGCACGUCUUGACGGUACCUAAUCAGAAAGCCACGGCUAACUACGUG
rnacentral:rRNA from 1 species